rnacentral:rRNA from 1 species
GAAAAGAAAAUACAACAUUUUCAGCAACGGAUCUCUCUGGCUCAUCGCCAUCGAUGAAGGACGCAGACCAAUCAGCGAUAAGUAAUGUGAAUUGCAGAUUUUCCGUGAAUCAUCGAAUCUUUGAACGCACCUUGCGCUCCUUGGUAUUCCGAGGAGCAUGCCUG